rnacentral:rRNA from 1 species
CGGAAUCUACUUUUUCGUGGGGGAUAACGUAGGGAAACUUACGCUAAUACCGCAUACGACCUACGGGUGAAAGCAGGGGAUCUUCGGACCUUGCGCGAUUGAAUGGGCCGAUGUCGGAUUAGCUAGUUGGCGGGGUAAAGGCCCACCAAGGCGACGAUCCGUAGCUGGUCUGAGAGGAUGAUCAGCCACACUGGAACUGAGACACGGUCCAGACUCCUACGGGAGGCAGCAGUGGGGAAUAUUGGACAAUGGGCGCAAGCCUGAUCCAGCCAUACCGCGUGGGUGAAGAAGGCCUUCGGGUUGUAAAGCCCUUUUGUUGGGAAAGAAAUCCAGCCGGCUAAUACCUGGUUGGGAUGACGGUACCCAAAGAAUAAGCACCGGCUAACUUCGUGCCAGCAGCCGCGGUAAUACGAAGGGUGCAAGCGUUACUCGGAAUUACUGGGCGUAAAGCGUGCGUAGGUGGUUGUUUAAGUCUGUUGUGAAAGCCCUGGGCUCAACCUGGGAACUGCAGUGGAAACUGGACGACUAGAGUGUGGUAGAGGGUAGCGGAAUUCCUGGU